AGCACAGGCUCUGCAGUACAUGCAACCAUCCAGGUGCUCCCACCUUGAGGAGUCACCACAUUCCAGAUCAACCGAUCCUACCACCAGAUCUGUACUCCAGGAGGAAGGUCUUUGUUUACUCACCAGAGUCCUGUAUGUUUUCUCACGAUGGUCUGUUGACAUCCCCAGACACGUUCACUACUGGAUUCCAAAGCAAAAUCCCUCCAUCCUGAGCUGAGCUAUAUUCUAUAUGCCCAUAAUGACUCCUGUCAUGACAAUGCCAAGUAUGAUUCUGUUCCAAACUUCUGUCAUCUGUUUUGGAAGUCCUUCCAAAUCCAGGGCCAGGAAACAAUUAUUUCUAAAGAGACUGAAUUUACUUAAUAGCGCCUUGACAGAUGGAAAACCCAAGAGCAUUCACACAAGACCACAAGAGAUGUGAGCUGCAGCUAUCACCAAACACAUAGAUGUUAGAAAAAAGAAAAAAAAUGUUUCUUUCGCAAUACAAAUGCAAACAAAUCCCCUUGAUCUUUCGCUAUUAUCUAAGUCAAGAAACUAGAACAUCUUUCCUCCAAGACCUGCUCCCAAGGGAACAGUUUAUUGAAAUUGAGAAAAUAGGAUCCUUGUUCCUGCUGCCUAAAGUGUUAUGCUUACACGUGUCAUACUUUUUGCAUUAGAAAACCUUGGUACAUUUUACUCUUUGGAAACAAUCUUUUUCAUUGUUUUGUUUUGUUUUUUUCACUUUCCAGCACAAGAGAUUAGCACAAGUCUUUGUCACUCCUCAGAAUAAGUGCUGGUGUAAAAGCUUAUUAGCUUAGCUAGCUAGAGCCAACUGAUGUGGUCAGCACCAUGGAUUCAGCCCUGGGAGAGACAAAGAAAACUUAUGUUCAGCCUUUGUAAUCUGAACCCUUCGGUCAAAUCUGAACAGGCAAACCUGUUGUUCUCAAAUUUCUGUACAGAGGAAUCAGUAGGACUCUCCCCAAAGUUGCAUUGAGUCAGACGACAGUGGCCGGAUGAAUCUGUUUGGUAACCAGCACCCCACGUGCUGCUAAUGCAGAUAUUCUAGGACUUUGCUUUGGAAAAUUCUGCAAAGCCACUGGUCUGUCCAAAAUGACAUGUGUUGGGAACAGAAAUGACUGGGGGAAGGAGGGAGGGUAGAGUGCAUACCUAGCAUGCACAAGCGCGUGGGUUUAAUCCCUAGUAACUCCAUUAAAAAUAAAUAAAUAAACCCAAUUACCUCCCCCUGCCAAAAAAAAGAAAAAAGGAAAAAAGAAAAGAAAUGACUGGGUGACAGGGAGAGUAAACACAGCUCAUUGCAAAGCUAUGGUCCCCACUGAACAAAAAGUUUAAAAAAUGAUCACCUUGGAAAACGAACAACAUAUAGGACGGAUCAGGGGGAAGACCGCUCUUACUGAUUUACAUCAAAUUGUACCAGCUUAGGAAUGAAUAAUACACCUUUUUUUUUUUUUUUUACCCAGUUCUUUGUCUUAAAGACUUUCCCAGUUAGAGAACCCACAGAGAGCUGCCGGUUUUGCUGAGAAUUACAGCAGUUGGUUUAAGCGUUACACAUCAAGAGUUCCAGGAACUGCUGGACUGGAGGCAUAAAUAGAAAGCAGCAACAGAAGCAAUCUAUCAUAAGCGUUAAAGCAAAGUAUUUUAAACAGAGUAUUAUCUUGGCGUAGGGAAGAGUGGGCGGUGGGUGCAGAAUCAGAGACUCGCUCUGCUGACUUCUAUCAUAGCUGCAACAAUCAAAGGAAAUGUCUGGAUUUCCGGAUGUUCCUCAGAAAUGCAUGUCUCAGUGAAUUGAGAAAGGUGCCUCUUGACUUGUUGCGUACAACCUGGCUUUUCUGUCUGCUAUUUAAUCAGUGCAGCUUCAUUUUUUUUUUUAAGAAUAAAAUUUAGCAAUGUUUAUCAUUUCCAGGAGGAGUGGUGGCUUACUGGUGGAGGACAGGAGGCGGGUCAGGAUGAGGGAGAGAGGGAGGAGGGCGCGGGGUUGCAGGUGGGGCUGUGGCAAGUACAAGUCAGAAGAGAGAAGGCAGUGAAGUGCUCCGUUUCCACCUGAGGCUCCCUAGACGAUCGGAGGUGGGAGCGGUAGGGAUAAAGGUGUUAGAAUGGGAGAUAUCGGGUCUUUUUACGGACAUCUUAGGAUGAGUUCCCCACAAAACAUGCCCUGAGGUAAGGAGGUGGCAGAAGAGUUGAUUCAGCAGGUGAACCCAGGUCACCACUACAGAGGACAGGUGACCAGUCCUUUGGGGAACUCUGACUAAUUGUGCAGAAUCAGCACCGUCCUAACUGAGGAGGCAGCCAUGGGGCUGUGUUCCCACCAACUUGCCUCAGUCAUCAGCUGAGGGUGGCUCCCAGAAAGUGUUACCAACCUGCAUUUCUAGUCGGCCUUGCUCACUGAUUGGGCAGAUUCUCAUGGCAGAGGGAAAGAAUCUUAGGAACACUGUCACUGGAGUGCCCAGAAAUGUGGGAGCUGAGACCACAUGGAUGGGGCACCAAGAUAUAGCUGGAUUGUAAGUGAGUUAAAGGUUGAAAUAGCCAUAGAGGAUAUUCUAUGCACACAGAAAGGAUCAAUGAUGCCUUCUGGAGAGAGUAGGUGUUCAACUUAAUAUUAUUUUUUUCUUCUUUUUCCUAUGUUACAAAUAUACUUUCUGUGGUUAAUUUGUCCCCCUGGUUUUCUCCUUGGAAAAAUUUUGUAGCCAACUAUAUAAUUUUAACGUGGUAUAAAAUAUUAUAAAAUAAUACAAA